rnacentral:rRNA from 1 species
AUUGAACGCUGGCGGCAGGCCUAACACAUGCAAGUCGAACGAGUGGCGGACGGGUGAGUAAUGUCUGGGAAACUGCCUGAUGGAGGGGGAUAACUACUGGAAACGGUAGCUAAUACCGCAUACCAUCAGAGGUGCCCAGAUGGGAUUAGCUAGUGGGUGGGGUAACGGCUCACCUAGGCGACGAUCACUAGCUGGUCUGAGAGGAUGACCGGCCACACUGGAACUAGGGCACGGUCCAGACUCCUCCGGGAGGCAGCAGUGGGGAAUAUUGCACAAUGGGCGCAAGCCUGAUACAGCCAUGCCGCGUGUGUGAAGAAGGCCUUCGGGUUGUAAAGCACUUUCAGCGGGGAGGCGUUACCCGCAGAAGAAGCACCGGCUAACUCCGUGCCAGCCGCCGCGGUAAUAC